rnacentral:sRNA from 1 species
GCCAGGGGGCAUGGUGGCGCACGCCUGUAAUCCCAGCAGCUCUGGAGGCUGAGCCAAGAGGAUCACGAGUUCAAAGCCGACUUCAGCAACUUAGGCCAUAAGCAACUUAGUGACACCCUGUCUCUA